rnacentral:rRNA from 1 species
GACGGGGGGGGGCAAGUGUUCUUCGGAAUGACUGGGCGUAAAGGGCACGUAGGCGGUGAAUCGGGUUGAAAGUGAAAGUCGCCAAAAAGUGGCGGAAUGCUCUCGAAACCAAUUCACUUGAGUGAGACAGAGGAGAGUGGAAUUUCGUGUGUAGGGGUGAAAUCCGUAAAUAUACGAAGGAACGCCAAAAGCGAAGGCAGCUCUCUGGGUCCCUACCGACGCUGGGUGCGAAAGCAUGGGGAGCGAACAGG